UGCUGCGAGGCUGACGACGAGCCGGCGGUCAGGCCGUCCAGCACCUUCCUGAUGUUGAAUUUCCUCAUGGUCUCGGCGGGGCUCCCCCGCAGCCCAGGAGGAGAGGUGAGAAACUGAAGAAGAAAGGAAGAAAUUAUAUCCCUUGCCCAAGGUUACAUCGCUGAAUCAACUUGAAUGGUGGACAGACCAGCCAUUUCAGUUGAACCCUACUGCAUUUCUUUGACAUGGUCCAGAUGGCCUUCAGUGAUGGAUGCUACUGUUGCUGGGGAAAUGUCACUGUUAGAGAAUAGAAAACUAUUAUUCCAAAGAGUAUUGAAGACUGACUGAAUCGGGUCUGGAACAUUAUUAAAAUGACAGGCUGCUGUUUGCAAGAUAUUGUUUUAAGCAGAGGGAAGACAGGCGCAGACGCAUACACAGGGAGAGCCACUAUCUUUUCAAACGGAUGCAGAAUACAUGAAGAGGUGCUGCCUGGCAGUUUUAUGGGGUGCUACAACAACAUACUGUAUUUCCCCUCUGGAUUCAAUACACUGAUCCUCUGGCUAUUUAAACUUUAAAAUAUGUACAGCAUUGUGGACAUAUGGAAGAAGACAAAAGCUGGGGUGGAUGACGCUGAGGACCUGGAGGCGAGACAAUGAGGUGUAGGAUAGAAAUGUCUAAUCUUCAAUUCUAGGUUUUUGGUGAAGAGACAAAGAAAAUCUUUUCCUUUCCUUUAACAUCUCUUCAAUCCUACAGUGAAGUCUGCUACCCACUCAUACUUUCACAUAGAGAAAUCAGGAAAGAAGCUGAAAGUAGGCCCAGCAUUUGGGUUUAUGUGGAGCAGGAGAUACUGAUACAUCAGGCCCAGGAAGCUGGACCCAGGAGUAUCCCUGAGAAUAUAAGCCCCAGAAGAAGUUACAGGAAUCUUAAAAAAAAGCAAUAGAUUUCCUCUGGGUGGUGAUAUAGGAAUUAGGGCCGAUUUUAUCAAGAUCUUGAUGGCAGCAUGACCCCAGUGGCAGUUGGUUAUGAGUCUAUGGUCCUGAUGAGGUUUGAAGCCUGGCUCAUCUAUAUGCCAGCUAGUUAUUCUAGACUGCAAAACUUGGUGUCGUCUUUGGUAAAAUUGGAGUAGUAUCUUUAUAAUUCGAGAUCACCAGUUGAUACUUAAAAUAGCUAGAUAAAACAUUGUUGAAGGAAGGGAUAUUCUCAAUGGAAGUAUCCCUUCCCCCCAUAUUGCAUUUGAAUUGUAAGGAAAAAUAUGUCUUUAAGGUUAAGAGGUUACAAGUAAUCUUGUAGUUGAGACAUAUGCCAGAGAUCAAACUUAAUAUGGGUAAUGGUACAGAGAUUUUGUGGAAGAGCAUCCUUGGUUUUGAGAGAUGCAUGCUGAAGUAUUUAGAGGUGAAGUGUCAUGAUGUCUGCAACUUACUUUAAAAGGUACCACAUAUAUGCACACAUAUGCCAUAUAUAUACAUAAAUAUGCACACAGGUAAUAUGUGUGUGUCUCUUGUAAAUAUAUGAAUCU